CCUGUCUUCUGUCUUUCCAUUGUCUAGAACGGAGCCCGGCACGUCUUGGUCCACAGGAUCUGAGCUUAAAGCCGUUCCUGACCCAGGCUGCCUGGGGAGAGAGGAAGAGCAGGUCUUACAUCACAGGACGUGAAUGGUGCGUGUCCCUCCACCACAACAGAUUAGACUACAGUGGAGUGCCCUGCCCUCAGAGCAAGC